rnacentral:tRNA from 1 species
GUUUAUGUAGCUUAAUUAAAGUAUAGCACUGAAAAUGCUAAGAUAGAUUUUUAAAUAUCUCAAAAACA